ACGCUCGACACCUACGGGAGGCAGCAGUGGGGAAUAUUGCACAAUGGGGGAAACCCUGAUGCAGCGACGCCGCGUGAAGGAAGAAGUAUCUCGGUAUGUAAACUUCUAUCAGCAGGGAAGAAAAUGACGGUACCUGACUAAGAAGCCCCGGCUAACUACGUGCUAGCAGCCGCGGUAAUCUGAGCGGGCUGGCAAGGC
rnacentral:rRNA from 1 species